GUUAAUGUAGCUUAAACCUUUAAAGCAAGGCACUGAAAAUGCCUAGAUGAGUGAGCUCACUCCAUAGACA